AAAUUACAAACAGACUGUUGGAUAUGUUUUCCUUACACUCUAACAGUGCCAUGUAAUGAAGGGAAGGGAUGAAAGGUUAAUGUUUCACUGGCAACAGCUGGCAUCGUGUAGAAAAUGGUGAAAGUGGCUAUUUUAGUUUGACUAAAUGAGCUAUUGAUGUACACAAUUACCCACUCCUAAAGAGAUGUGAAUUUCAUGGGCACAACUGGCACAUCUUGCAUCACAGCUUCAUAUAGUAUUUUCAUGGUCAUGCUGUCACUGGAAGACCCUAUAUGCUGGCAGUCGGAUGUUGAUAUACAACAUGGCUACCUCAGCCAGUUCAGGAAGGAGCUGCUUUACAGUGACAGUUGUGCUCUGCAGGGGCCCUCAUGUUUCCAUCUUAGCUCACCAGGCCUACCAAGCAUUUGCUUCACAGAUGGCUUGCACAUGCAUGACAAAUCUAAUGUAUUCUGGGCAUACUGUGUGCAUGCAGCAGCCAUUUGUCCUCAGCUUCUGGGUGUCAGGCAGCCUGGUUCAGCUCUUGCCCCAGCUGGCCUCCUUGCCAUCUGGAAAUCCCUGACACACAGAUGGAAGCUGGGAAAGGUGAAGGAAGCAGCUCCAUGCACCAUUUCCUGCAAGGCACAGCUGUAUAAAGACUGGGUGAAACUUACUUCUGCACCACUGCUUACAAUAAGAAAUGAAAUGCUACAACCGGUGUUUGCAUUUUUUUUAUUUAAGAUUUCGAAAGUGAAGAAAGCACUUGAGUCACCACCAAGAAAAGAAAAACAACUCAAAAGGAAAAGACCACCUACAACUGAUGAGGGGCCAGACACCUGCCUUUAAUUGAGUGCCUAAAGAAAACACUAUAUGGCCACCCUUUAAUUUGUAAUGAGUUCUGACUUGCUUUGACACAAGCUAUGUGAACUGCCAUGUGUGCUGUUAGUUGACAGCAAAAAGGAAAUUCUUAUGCUGGAGCAUGUUAUGUGUCUGUGCAGACCUGAAGGAUGGUCCAAAAUGUGAAAAACAGAAUAAAACCCUGCUUGGCUGAACA
rnacentral:lncRNA from 1 species